AACGAACGCUGGCGGCAGGCUUAACACAUGCAAGUCGAACGCGCCCUUCGGGGCGAGUGGCAGACGGGUGAGUAACGCGUGGGAACCUACCUUUUGGUACGGAAUAACUCAGGGAAACUUGAGCUAAUACCGUAUGUGCCCUUCGGGGGAAAGAUUUAUCGCCAAAGGAUGGGCCCGCGUCGGAUUAGCUAGUCGGUAGGGUAACGGCCUACCAAGGCGACGAUCCGUAGCUGGUCUGAGAGGAUGAUCAGCCACACUGGGACUGAGACACGGCCCAGACUCCUACGGGAGGCAGCAGUGGGGAAUAUUGGACAAUGGGGGCAACCCUGAUCCAGCCAUGCCGCGUGAGUGAUGAAGGCCUUAGGGUUGUAAAGCUCUUUCGCCGGUGAAGAUAGUGACGGUAGCCGGAGAAGAAGCCCCGGCUAACUUCGUGCCAGCCGCCGCAGUAA
rnacentral:rRNA from 1 species